UUAAGUGUUUGAAUGAUUUCUUUUAAUUCUCGCCACAUCUGUGACACUGAUGAAGAAAGCCAGAAUCAGGGAAUUUAGCUUCCCCUCGGUCAUUCAGCUGCAGUCGAGAUUAGAAUCCAGAAACCUCUGGCUCCGAAACAAUUACACUUUAUGACUUUUUGAUGACAGGAGAAUUUCACUCCCCUCCCUGUUUUCUUUUUCUUCUUUCCAAGGGUCCCUAGUAGAUGAUUUCGUUAUUUAAGAUGUAAUGUGGUAUAGAGGAAAGAGGCGGGCUUUGGAACCACGCAGACCUGAGUCGGAAUUACGUCUUCUGGACUUAUUAGUGGACUGGCUUUGGGAAAAUGACUUAACAUCUGUAGAUUUUGAUUUUCUCAUCUUCCAAAGUGAGGUCACAAUGCCCUAGAACCCAACCCAUGGCUUGGUAUGUCAUAGACAUUCAGUAAAUAUAUACUGAUUCAUUUUUCUCCUCUCUCUUUCCCUUAUUAUUUUUCUCUUCUUUCUCUCAUUCCCUCUUUCUCAUUAUUGUCUUUGAUUCUGUCUCAGAUUGAUCAAAAUAUCCAGGAAUAUUAGGGGACAACUAGGAAAAUUUAAAUACUAGAUACUUAUUGGUAUGAUAAAAUGUGAUUUUUUUAGGUAUGGUCGUUGUACUAUAAUUAUGUUUUAGAAAGAGUUCUUUUUUUCAGAGAUACAUGCUUAGGUGGAUGGAUGCUUUAUGCCUUAUGGAUGCUUUGAUAUGAUGUCUAGGACUUGCUUCAGUAAAACCCAGUGAAGUUAGGGGUUGAGGGACAAGAGUGAGUAGAGAUAUGGACGAAACAAGAUUGGCUAGAUUGAGCAGUAGGUACACAGGGAUUCAUUUUACUAUCAGUCUCUACUUUUGUGUAUGCUUGAAAAUUUCCAAAAUAAAACAUUUUCUAAAAUGUCCAAGAGAAAGUUCAAUCCUCAGUAUCUUCCUCAUGUUCACCAAAGUCCCCAGUUCUCCCCAAUGACAUUCUGGGCAGCUUUUCUCCUUGCUUUUCCCAGUACUUUCUGCGUUGUUCCAGACUCUGUGCCAGUGGAGUGCCGCACUGCCUCAGCCCCCACAGCUGGCGAUUGGACAAGAAUCUCUUCCUGACCCCAGAUGGCAUCACAGCUUCCUCAGUCUGAUCCUGUCAGCAUAUUUUUUCCAGGCACCUGAUUCUUGGACGUGGCAGCAAUAAAACCAACCGGGAUUAUUUGGCCGGCCCCCUCUGGAGCAGGCCGGGAUCCACCUUUGCUUCCAACAUCAUAUGUCACUUCAUACUUUCACAGUCCUUCAAAUCUCUUCUCCCGUCUGAGCUUCAUGUGCUGGGAGGUCCCAUGUACUCACCUUGGCAUAGGUGGGGAGCCGUUGGUCCUGACUGGUUGAUGGCUGACUCCCAGUUCUGUGUUUAUCCACUGAAGCCCAGUGCAGUUGUUGUGCAAGGUGUGGGCAAAGGACCAGGAGAGGGGACCAAGUACCUCUAAGCUGAAGAAUGGUGUGCAUCUCUCCCCCUUCCACCAUUUCUGUUCGGGUUUGACUCACAGAGCCUUGCAGCUUCACAGUCACUUAUAAGAGGAGGUGGUAAAGACAGCUGCUGGAGAGAACAUCUGGCAGGGCUCUGAGCAAAUGUUCCUACCAGGGGGAUGUGAAGCCUGAGACCCUGACUGGCAUCUGAGCCCUGGGAUGCUGAGCGUUCCCCAACUCGUUAAUAAAAGGAUCUGCUGGACUCAUUGUAAGAUGGGAAUGACAAAAACUGUCUGGUUUACAUACGAGAUCACAGAUCAGGAAUGUUGGAGCGUUUCACUGGCAAGGAAUGAAGAGCUCAGCUACAAGCCUCGGAAAACAGGAGCAGGCACAGAGCAACAGCUCGUUGUGUGCUUCUUGCUCUGGGGAAAGGACGUAGUGCCUGUGGACACGGGAGUCCACUAUCAAUGCAUGGUUACACACACCAACCGCCUGCUCUGUGUGCUGGACCCAGAAACCAUAGAGCCUUUUCCCAGCCCUUACAUUAGGACAGAGUACGAGGCUCCGAACUCUCUCCAGUGCAUCCAAGUAUCCUGGGUUUCCUCAUUUUCUGAUCACAUUAUUGACUGGAAGGGGGAGGGGAGGGAGUACAGGUAACUAAGAAGUAGAGCGAGCACAUAGGUGUAUGAACUAUUAUAAAAUAAUAAAAAU
rnacentral:lncRNA from 1 species